GUGAGUCCAGAGAAUACAUAAACUAAACUUAGAAUGGUAUGAAGAAGAUUAUCAUGGCCCCUGCACAAGGAUGGCACACAAACCUAUGAGGCAUUUAAGAAAAAG